UACGUAGGGUGCGAGCGUUAAUCGGAAUUACUGGGCGUAAAGCGUGCGCAGGCGGUUCGCUAAGACCGAUGUGAAAUCCCCGGGCUUAACCUGGGAACUGCAUUGGUGACUGGCGGGCUAGAGUAUGGCAGAGGGGGGGUAGAAUUCCACGUGUAGCAGUGAAAUGCGUAGAGAUGUGGAGGAAUACCGAUGGCGAAGGCAGCCCCCUGGGCCAAUACUGACGCUCAUGCACGAAAGCGUGGGGAGCAAA
rnacentral:rRNA from 1 species